rnacentral:tRNA from 2 species
GCCGCUGUAGCUCAACCCGGCAGAGCACCGCACUUGUAAUGCGGGGGUUGGGGGUUCGACUCCCCCCGGCGGCUCCA